rnacentral:rRNA from 1 species
CCUACGGGAGGCAGCAGUGGGGAAUAUUGGACAAUGGGCGAAAGCCUGAUCCAGCAAUGCCGCGUGAGUGAUGAAGGCCUUCGGGUCGUAAAGCUCUUUUACCAGGGAUGAUAAUGACAGCACCUGGAGAAUAAGCUCCGGCUAACUCCGUGCCAGCAGCCGCGGUAAUACGGAGGGAGCUAGCGUUGUUCGGAAUUACUGGGCGUAAAGAGUACGUAGGCGGUUAUUCAAGUCAGAGGUGAAAGCCCGGGGCUCAACCCCGGAACUGCCUUUGAAACUAGAUAGCUAGAGUCUUGGAGAGGUUAGUGGAAUUCCGAGUGUAGAGGUGAAAUUCGUAGAUAUUCGGAAGAACACCAGUGGCGAAGGCGACUAACUGGACAAGUACUGACGCUGAGGUACGAAAGCGUGGGGAGCAAACAGGAUUAGAUACCCUGGUAGUCCACGCCGUAAACGAUGAUAACUAGUUGUUCGGUCACUUGGUGACUGAGUGACGCAGCUAACGCAUUAAGUUAUCCGCCUGGGGAUACGGUCGCAAGNUUAAAACUUAAAUGAAUUGACGGCUGNGAGNGCGAGCGACGACGAGGAGAGG